rnacentral:rRNA from 1 species
UACGUAGGGUGCGAGCGUUGUCCGGAAUUACUGGGCGUAAAGAGCUCGUAGGUGGUUUGUCGCGUUGUCCGUGAAAACUCACAGCUUAACUGUGGGCGUGCGGGCGAUACGGGCAGACUGGAGUACUGCAGGGGAGACUGGAAUUCCUGGUGUAGCGGUGGAAUGCGCAGAUAUCAGGAGGAACACCGGUGGCGAAGGCGGGUCUCUGGGCCGACACUGACACUGAGAGACGAAAGCUAGGGGAGCAAAUGGG